rnacentral:lncRNA from 1 species
UAUCUCUAUAGAUCUUCAUCCCAAAGAUAAAGGAUGCUUCUCUCAAGUCUUUCAUGGAAAAUUGUGAUGACAACCAAAGAUAUCAUUCUCGAUCGAUUAAGAGAAUGUCAUCGACAUACAAAACAAGAAAUACUACCACAGAGUUAUUAACCUAUUUUUAUAUAUAGGGUUCCUCUCCAUUCUUAAUAAAGCCAUAUAUUCUGAUCACAUUAUCAAAACACAUGUUCCAACUCCG